CAGACGGGGAGGCGCCUCCGGCGGUCUCCGCCCCUGUGGCUCAGACGGCGGCCCCGGCUCGUCUGUGGCGGGCGCGGUGAGGCGUGGCCCCCGCCGCUCCCCAGAGGGUGGCUUUGCCUGGGGCUGCGGCUCUGGGGCAGCGCGGGGCUCCCGGGGGGCCGUCCUGGGUGGCGGGGGCUUGUCUUCGUUCACUCUCCAGAGAAGAAAGCCCCCUGGACUCAGUGUCUCCCAAAUGUCGGUUAUUGAAGUCUUGCUGUAGUAUCCACACACCGCGGUGUGUUUUCUGUUUCUCUUUAAAUAUACUUCGAGCAGAAUUGCUUUUUUAAAAAAUUAACUAAGGUUUUUGGCUGCACCUUGAAGCUUGCAGGAUCUCAGUUCCCCAACCAGGAAUAGAACCCAGGUCCUAACCGUCGGACCACCAGGGAAUACCCCAGGAUUGCUUUUUUAAAAAAUAUUUUUAUUUGACUGCCCCAGGUCUCAGUUGCAGCAUGUGGGAUUUUUAGUCGUGGUAUAUGAACUCUUGGUUGCACCAUAUAGAAUCUAGGCCCCUCACCGGGCAUUCAGCCCGGGUCCCUCGCAGUAGAAGUGGUGAGUCCUAACAGCUAGACCGCGGGGGAGUUCCCCAGAAUUGCUUUUUAAUUCAGCCUCAUCCUCGACCAAGUCUGUGAAGUCCCAAGUUCAACGUGCCCGCUGCUUUCUCUCAUACAGAGAUAAGUGACUGUUGAGAUAAGUGACGGUUAUUGAAGACUGCCUGUUUGUGUGCCUCCUGUGGUCAUCUUGCAGGCCCCAGGAGCCCACUGUCCUCCGCGUGGGAAAGUCCUAGACCAGGUGGCCUAAUGACGGAUUCUGCAGAAGUGAAAGGCAAAAAGGGCCCUGGGACAGAGCCCGCACAGGAGCCCUCAGCGUCCAGCCGCUGCUGUCCGAGCAAUGCUGGAAGAGCCUCCGGGCCUCCCUGAGCCCCACGUGCCCGGCUCCGCUGCAAGAUUUCUCAGGUUUUCUCCAGGAGGGCUGGCCCCCAGGCUUGGGGUCUCAGAGCUUUUGCAGGUACGGAAGCCUGUGGAGGCUUUUUUAUGGCUUUCUCUGUUCCUCCGAAUGUGCUUAUUUCUAAAGGAGCCCCUCUGGUUCUCUGGCCCCCUCUCUGGGGAGGGAGUAAAGGUGGCCCAGGAGGGGCCCAGGGAUCCCAUUUCAGCGAUACCUCUGCCGCAGAGGACAGCCCCACUCACCUUCCUGGGGGGUGCUGGGCGCUGGGUGGGCCGGAGGCAGCCCUGCAGGUGUGGACGCUCCCUUGGGAGGCCUCGGUUUCUGCCCUCUGCCCCUUCGUGGGCCUUGAAGUCAAACUGCCUCCUUCUCUCUGUGUGCUCAGCACAGCGAACACCCCUCUGUUUAAACAUUUAAAUUCACUUAGGUUUUGGUGCUGGGAUUUAGCAAGGAAAAGCUGUCUCCAUUAAAACCAACUAACCAAGGUUUUCCUCUUCACAACUUUCGUUUCCACUCUUCCCUCACCUUUUAAAACAUUCUACCCGAAUGAAACAUUGCGGUUUGAUUUUGCACCCAGAGGCCCCUGUCCCGGAAAACGAGCCCUGUUUUUGUUUCCCUGGGGUCAGUGGCUUCCCCCACCCUCAAGUUCCGGUCACAGUGCUAGAAAGAAAAAGCGGUCAGACAAACACCCUUUCCUUCCCCCCGGGAAGCCAGCCGGAGACCUGGCCUGCCAGGCAUUUAGAGCCCAGCUUUCUCGAUGCUCGUGGCUGAGAGUCUGGGUUUUCCUAAAGAACUCUCCCUGCCUACUUUCUCUGUGAAUAUAUCAUCACAGUCUGGACACCCGGCUGCUAAAGUUGCCACCAAGCCUCUUUGGUAUUGGGUAAACGUCUCUGAAUAAUUCAAAAUAAGCUGCCAAACAAGGCACAUUCGUUAAACGUUGGGGAACACUUCCAGUACGCAGCACGAAACGAGAGCUGCACACGGAGGGCACCCCUCAGUGCUCCGGCUGGAGGGGCUGAGCAGAGGCUGCGUCCCAUUAUUUGAGCUUCGUGGUCCCGAGUCUCCGCUGUUUUAUGAAUUUUUUUUUAUCUACAGUUCUAAACUACUAUUUCAUUUAUUAGAACAAUAGGGAAGCUUAUUGAGGUGGUAUUUUUAUUAAAAUUUCUAUUAACUUUUGCUAUCAGUACAGUUGUAGAUUAAUUAAUUUUUACUACUUUUCUAAAGCAAAAAAUAUUAGAGCUGAUCCCAAGUUACUUCAAAUGUGAAACAAGCCAAAUCAGAAAAAGAGCAGUUUGGAGAGAGAGAUGUCGCUGGUUAAGACCGGGCAGAAGUUUACGGUCAAGGCGGCUUGCCAGGUGGGUCGUCUUCGUCUGGGGCGGGGGGUGCAGGCGAGGUUCUGCUCUGUUCNNNNNNNNNNNNNNNNNNNNNNNNNNNNGAUCCGCUCUUCCACGCAGUGGGGGAGUUGCUCUGUCCCUGGGGUGGAUGCGCGAUUCUGUGAGGCGGCUCCUUUGCUUUUUGUUUUUGCCCUUGGUACUUGGCCUGUGGGAUCUUAGUUCCCCGACCAGGGAUCAAACUCAGGCACCCUGCGUUGGAAGUUUGGAGUCUGAACCGCUGGCCACCAGGGAAGUCCCUGCAGUGGCUUUCUCAAGGCGAAAUUCACAUCAUAUGAAAUUCACCAUCUUACAGAGAACAUGGUUAAUACCAUCACAAUAUCCUGCAACCGCCACCUCCGCCCAGACCUCCUUCCUCAUCCCCGAGGAACCCUGGGCCCCAGUGGUCACCCGAUCCCGCUUCUCCCGCCCCUGGCGGCCGCUGAUCUUUCUGUCUCUGGAUCUGCCUGUUCUGGGUGUUUCACGUGACGGAGUCGCUCACCGUGGGCCUUGAGUUUUGGCUGCUUUCACGGAGCGCCGUGUUUUCGGGGCUCGUGGCUGGGGAUGUGUUGGUGCUGCGCUCCUUCUUCCGGCCGAGUCCCCACCCAGCGUGGGUACAGCUCGCCCGUGUGUCACCUGUCGUGGGUAUUUCUUUCCACCUUUGUCUUGUGCGCAGCGGCUGUGGACGUGCGUGGGUGUGCGUGUGUCUGCGGCCUCGUUUUCAGUUCUCCCAGUUCAGCUCGGAGUGGAGCUGCUGGGCCAGGUGGUCGUCCUCCGGGCUUUCUGCUCUCUGCUUUUACGUAGCGAACGUCCUCCUCCCCGUCCCAGGUCGGGACCGU
rnacentral:lncRNA from 1 species